GAUGAACGCUAGCGGCAGGCCUAACACAUGCAAGUCGAGGGGUAACAGGGGAGCUUGCUCUCGCUGACGACCGGCGCACGGGUGAGUAACGCGUAUGCAACCUACCUUUAACUGGAGGAUAGCCCGAAGAAAUUUGGAUUAAUACUCCAUAGUAUUAUUGAUUGGCAUCGAUUAAUAAUUAAAGAUUUAUUGGUUAAAGAUGGGCAUGCGUGACAUUAGUUAGUUGGUAAGGUAACGGCUUACCAAGACAGCGAUGUCUACGGGGUCUUAAAGGAUGGUCCCGCACACUGGUACUGAGACACGGACCAG
rnacentral:rRNA from 1 species